AUACGUAGGUGGCAAGCGUUGUCCGGAAUUAUUGGGCGUAAAGCGCGCGCAGGCGGUCCUUUAAGUCUGAUGUGAAAGCCCACGGCUCAACCGUGGAGGGUCAUUGGAAACUGGGGGACUUGAGUGCAGAAGAGGAAAGUGGAAUUCCAAGUGUAGCGGUGAAAUGCGUAGAGAUUUGGAGGAACACCAGUGGCGAAGGCGACUUUCUGGUCUGUAACUGACGCUGAGGCGCGAAAGCGGGGGGAGCAACCAGGAUUAGAUACCCUGGUAGUCCACGCCGUAAACGAUGAGUGCUAAGUGUUAGGGGGUUUCCGCCCCUUAGUGCUGCAGCUAACGCAUUAAGCACUCCGCCUGGGGAGUACGGUCGCAAGACUGAAACUCAAAUGAAUUGACGGGG
rnacentral:rRNA from 1 species